AUAAAAUUCUACGAGUCGACGAAGUUGAAAAUACAAAGCACAGUGAAAGUCAUGUGUUAUAUUUUGCUGUUUUUCUUAUGUAGUCGAGAUUAUGAUUGCAGUUGUUCGUGCAAUCAUAGAUGAAUCGAUCUUUGUUUCGAUAAAAUAAAGAAGGAAUUGUGAAGUAGAUUUGUUGUUAAUGUUUUUCUGUUAAUUUAAAUUUGUUUGCGUUUUAUGAUGUUAAAAAACUUUUAGGAAUAUGUUUAUAUGAAUAAUUUGGGUGCAAAGCAGUCAUAGAAUCAAUAUUUAUUCGUAUAAAAUUUUAUUUUUCUUUUUUUCUACAAUCAGAUAUACUGUAGAUUCUUAUAUAUAAAACAAGCAAUAGAUAUUCGCGAAUUAAAUUCAUUGUUUGCCUCUUAAUUAUUAAAUAAUUAUUGCGUAUUUGAGUCAGUGGACCAUGGAAUAUGAUCAAGGAGCUAUUACACUUCUGUAGAAGAAUAUUGAUUUGCAUUGUCAUUAAGUCAAUGUAUUACAAAUUCAAUCUAAUUAAUUUUUCAUCUACGUCGAUUUAUUUCAUUUUGGACUUCUUACGGAACAGCUUACAUAAAUUUCGAACUACAACGGGGCGAGUGUUUUGAAGCUAUUGUGGAUCUUAAGCAGUGAGUGAACAAAUUUAAGUCCCUCCAGUAUAUAUUAUGUCGAGGAUGAAAGAUUCGACUUGAUAUGAAUUACUAGUUGUAAUUUUUUCUAUUAAUUGUUGACGAAUAGCCAUUAAUAAUCAACUUUUUGGAUUUACUCUUGAAUGGUAUAGUUUUAAUUGUUUUUUUAUUGGGCUUAAUCUAGUUUCAUCAUCUUAGGAUAGUAUUUUCUUGUUCUAUUAAUGAGUCAUUUAAUUAAUACGAGUCAUGCAACAACUCAGCAGUGUGAUUUAAGUGCGAUUGGUUGUCACAAAUGGUGACGAAGGGGCUCACACGUUGGCUUCUGUAGCAUUUUCACUAUGCGUGCUUGAACGUGUGCCAAUUAUGUGGAUGUUAACAAAAUUAAUUAUUAUAAAAACCAUAAAAUCUGAUUAAUUUGAAUAAAUAUGUUUUUGCACAUGUAUUUAAACGUUAUAUUAUAAUCAAACAUCGUAACACAACAAGUAAGCCUUUCGAGAUCUUCUUUAGAUGCAAUAAUCGAAAACAAUUCAUCCAGUAAAAUGAAAUCAU